rnacentral:lncRNA from 1 species
UAAGGUUCUGGAAAUGAUUGGUGGACGAGCUGGUGAAUUGCAACCUGGACUUCCAAGUAGUGGACCACCUCAGCCACCCCAGAUGAUAUCUAUGCUCCUGAGGUCAUGUGAUUUUCAGCUCACGGAGAGCUGCCAGCAAGAGCUCAACAGUAAGUUGGGCCCCGUCGCCAAAAUCAAGGGUCCUAGUAUCUUGGGUCCCACUGGUGUUCCCCUUCCAUCACAGCAGCCCCCUCCUCCUCCCCCCAAGAACCCUGCACGUCUCAUGGCUCUGGCUCUUGCUGAAAGUGCCAACAAGGCACUGCGGCAAGGUGCCUCACCCCCAUACCGCCCCCGUCAAAGUGGAACCUCCCCUGAGGCAGAUGUCCGUUUCCAGAGGUCCCUUUCUGCAGAUGCAGGUGCUCUGCUAUCUUCUGAUCCUAAUCAGAUUUAUUCCACAGUACGCCCCUUGUCUGUGUGGAAGACUGAAGGUGAUGACGAUGAGGGUGGAACUGUUGCUGAAAAGCCUGCAGACAAAUCACGUGAUACAGAGUCAAGGUCACCACCUGGGCGAGACACUGGGACUAUCUCUUCUGACAGCUCAGUCUCUGACAAUGGGACAUCCAAUUCUGAGUUGUCAGCUGCCAGUUCCUCUGAAGACAAUGAGCGAACACCAAGCCCCAUUUACAAGAACGAAGAACCAACCUCUCCAGCACAGCCCUCAAAAUCCAGCCCACCCUCUUCCAGUGAAGCCAUCCCUUCUCAAAGAAAACCCCCAGCUUAUGGACGACAGUUUUCUGCUCCGCAGCUUCAGCAGGAGAAAUCCAGCAGCCAGUCCAAGCCUGCAGCCCAACCACACACUCAGCUUCUGCAUUCUAAAUCAGAGAGCUCCCCACUGGCCCAGGUACGAGCCUUCCAGCCCACUCGCCCUAAAGUGCCACCCAAGCCCCCUGAUCUUGCUCCCUUGAGGGCUCCACUCUCUCAGACUGACCGUCAUGAUUACAUACGUCGCUCCUUGGAUGCCAGUCGCAUUCGACGAUUGGCAGGGCCACCACAAGGGAACACACCACUUUCCAGAGCUUUCUCUGAGCGUAUCAGCAGUACCUCUGACAUGCUGUCUCGCUAUCAUGCAGCCAGGAUGGCCAGCCAAGCUGCUCAGGUUCUUCCACAACAACAGCAACAGGCCCAGUCCACACCAAUCAGACCGGUUGUCCCCUCCUUCGAAGACCCUUCCAAGAUGGAGAACUUCUACUACGAAAUUGGUGCACCUGAGCAUCCACAAGUGCCACCCAGCUAUGCACGCCACAGCUAUCAAAAUAUGAAGUUGGAUCUGGAGGGAAACCUCCGUCUCACUGAUCCAGCCAAUCAAAGGCCUAUUUCCAGGGGCUACCCUCCUCCCUACAAUCACCAAGGACCUGGGGGCGGAAGGACUCCCCAGCUUUGGUCAUCUGAGGACACACGAGCUUGGGCCGCAGCACACUCUCACUCUUUCUCCUUUUCCCAUUCUCAUUCUCACCAUCGCUCUCAGGAUGGAUCAUCAGGACAUCCUCCCCAUCCCCGUCCCCAGCGUCAGACAUCGUCAUCCGUCAGGUUGCCCCGCAGUGAAGUGCAUCACAUACCCGCAUCCGUUGGAGUGGGCUCCGCUGCUGGCAUGGUGCCUUUGUCUGUGCACCAACGUAGCUUGCAUCGCCCCCAGCGUUCCCCUUCUGCAGACCACACAGCCUCCCAGCUUCACCCCUACUUUGAAAACGGGAAGGUGUGUUACCGGUACUUUGAGGCUUCCAGACUGGAAGACUUGCCACUGAAUCAGCAUCAGCAUGCUGUAUUAAAGCCGUCUCAGGCCUCACCAGUGCAAGGAAUCUCAAAAGAUCAGCCUGAACACAUUUACGUCAACUACCCUUUCACAAACCCACCAGGAUCUGGGGUUAAUUCAAAGGGCUGGGCCACCACAGACCUCGACGAAAAUGAUCACCAAACAUCUGAGACACUGGAACCACCUUCCAAGUCACCACCGGAUGACAAACAGAAGCAUUCAGAGCAAGAAAGUCACAUGGCUGGUUUUGACAACCCUGCCCAGAAUGAUGUGUCCUCAGAUUCCAAAGUGACCAAUAUAGCAGCGUUUGCCUCCAGUGCCAUGCAUUUCCGCAGUCGCUCAGAUCCCCAAAGUACUAGCUCGGAGCCUGCUCAUGUCCUGACUGGGAAGGAAAUUGCUUCCUUGCUAAUUGAAAAGCUUGCAGAGGAUGAAAGGGAGGGUCUUUCUGUGCCAUCCUCUUCUCCGCACAUUGAGCACCCUCCAAAUCCCUACCCUAGCCAGCAGCAGCAACAACCUCCACCUGCGUAUAAUAUCUACACUCCAGGACCCUCUCGAGGGCGCUUUGAAGGUCAGGUGCCGCCUAGAGAGGGAUCAGGACCUUUCCAACGUCAAGACCCCUUGCGGAGAUCUUCCGGAGGCCAGUAUAGACAAGCUUUUGACGUCAUGCCAUCUGGUGACCAAGUCGUUAAGUUUUACAGAAGCCAAGACUUUAUCCCAAGCGCCCAGGGACAAAGCACAACCCCUAAUCCUUAUCCCCCAAGACCAUAUUAUCAGGACCCCCCAUACCCCAAUUGGGGCCCUCAAGGCCUCCCAGACUCUUCCCACACAUGCACUCCACCUACAGUGGCCUUCUCAAACUUAGCGCUUGGAUCGAUAAGAGGAUAUGGGCCUCAGACCGUGGCCAACCAGUUUAACCAGUAUCCAUACCAGUCAGGGCCAGUGCUUCCCCAGUAUCCCAACACACCGCGACGAGAUGUUGUCCUGGAUCCUUCACUUCGACCUCCCGGGUUGCAGAACCAGAGAGGCUUAAACCGGCAGGGAAGACUGCCGGGCCCCAACUGGACCAUCCGAACUGAGGGCCAGACCCGUAGUUACUGCUAAAGAGCUAUGUGUUUAGAGGAUAUGAUAUAGACCGGUUAUAAGCACUAGACUUAUGUUUCCUGUACAAGUUAACACGUUGUGAAACUUAACUAAACAAAGCUAAGUGGGGUAUGUCCUUACUAGUGUUUCUGUCUCAGAAAGAACCCAUUGCUGUCCUGCGAUUAGUGUGUGUAUUGGAGUGGGAAAAGUGUACGAGAAUAAGACGUGAAGCAGAAAGGAUCAAAGAAGUGAACCAUAAAGUGGCUUAGAUAUAAAAACAUUCCAGAACACACUGUGCUGUCCAGCAGAGGGAGUCAGAGAGGUACAUAGCUGCUAUUAACUCUGACAGGACGUUGCUCAGUGGCUAAUUUUAGUUUUUCUGCUUUGGGUUUUGUUUGGUUUUAGGUUCUUUUUGACACUAAGUCAUGCUGUACAGGGGCACAAGCUUGACAUGUCUUUCUUCCUCCACAAAGUACGAUAUAAAUAACCUAAAGAGAUGCUGGUGGUUAUAUGAAACUUUAUGAGUAUGGCUAGUUUUUAUCUUCAUUUUUUGGCAACAAUGUGAUGAUAUUUCCAUUUUAAUUUUUUUAUUUUUUUUUCUAAGUUAUUGUAAGUUUUCAAUGGAACGAGUUAUUGUGAAAUAGUUUUAUUUUGCCUUUCUUGAAUUUGUUGCAAAGAAUGUGAAGAUUAGGACUUGAGUUUUUUUUUUUUUUUUUCUUCUUCUUUAGUCUGUGUGUGAAUUUGUGUGUGAAUGAAUGUGUCAUGCGCAGAGUGUCUUAACGUUAAGCACAUAAAAAGGAACGGUAAUUGCAGAUUUUUUGGGAGGGCGUAAUUGAGAGCGCAUACUUCUGUGAGGUACUGUUUUCUGCUCAUUCUCAAAUAAUGUGUCAGAUGAUAUGUGUAUCAAUAUUGGCGUUCUAAUCCAAAGCAAGUAUUUCAGGUAGGUCAUGUCACAAUGUGUCACUCCCAGGGUUUCUGUGAUGGAGGAAUCCCAACCUAGCAACAUUGAAUACCUGGUACUAUUCACCACAAAACACUGAAAAUUCCUUCAAUGCCCAAAAAACUAGUCUUGGAUGACUUUAUAAAUUUAAAAGUCGUUUUUAUCAGAUCCCUCUUUCUGGGCUCAGUAAUGUUCCAGUGUUUUUUACUCAGUACUGUAGUACCUUUCAGGUCAUUAAAAAUGUCCUGGAUGUUCUUCCAAAAUUGACCAGAGAUGGAAUCUCUAAAAUUUGUUUAGUAAUUGGUGCCUUCUCUUAAAUGACUAAACGUCUUUUAAAUAAUCCUUUGUUAUGAAAGCAAAUAUUGAAGAGCUAGAUACAAACCCUGUCCCUAGCCCAGUUACCCCUAUUUACAGUUUCCCAAAGUUCCACACUAGUAAGUUCAAAAUGGGGAAAAAAAGGUGUGUAUGAGUGAGAAUAUGACACUGUGUGUUUGCAUGUCUGUUAUCUCUGUUGUUUUAAUACAUAUCUAUGCAGGGAAUAACCAAGGGGGAUAUGUUCCUGAAAAACACUAAAUAUUAAUGCUACCUAUGUAUGUUAGCAGACCUGUGAGCGUGUAUGUUUCAGUGAGAGAGGUCAUGCAUGUGGCUUUGAAGGUAUAUACAUGUCCAACAAUCUCCCCUUCAGCCUUUUCCACUUGGUGAAUGGCAGUUCAUCCUAUUUUGUAAUAUUUUCAAAUAUGUGAAUUAAAACCUUGGACACCGUCAGUG